GCUGAUCCCUCGCCUCCCAAAAAGGCGUAUUGGGGCGGGAAAAGGUUCCCAGGGAAAAGCGAGUUUUUCGCUGGAAGAGGGCGGCCUAAGCUAGGGCUCCUCAGCGGGGAAAGGAGGCAGCCAGGCUGGGAAUCGGGGCGGUCACAGGCUGCCACAGGCCCCUCCGAGCCAAAGCUAGCGGGAGCUGGGCUGGAAGUGUUGGAGGGAUCGCUUGUGCGACAGGAACCGGAGCUUCCGGACUCCCUGGGCAAGGCUGCUGCGCAUGUGGAGAGGGGGUGUGGGCACUGGGGAGACCGGGCGGGGACUGGAAAGAGAAAGUAGUUGAAGGGUACUGAAGCAGCUGGCUGCGUCAGGCUCGGGAAGCGGCCGGAGCUGAGAAUAGCUGGAGGCUUGGAGAGACGUGCUUGCCCGGGUUUUAGUUUUCCCUUGAUGCUCCCAUAUAGCUGAGGCUGGAGCUGGAAAUAGAUGGAUCCUUGCUCCAGCUAAUAGUGCAACUGCUCUAGUCUGCCUGUAAUAGGUUUGCUGGUGUAGCAGAGAUUCGUCUGUACUGGUGUCAUGGUUUAAGCCCAGCCAGCAGCUAAGUACCACAGCCACUCACUCACCUUCCCCCCUCCAGUGGGAUGGGGUGGAGACACGGGGGGAACAAAAGAUAAAACAAGCAACAGUCAGACACCAGGUGGUGCCGGAGACCAGCUGGAAAAGAAAGUGAAACGACUGCAAGGAGCGUUCAGAAAGAGCGAGAAGCAAAGAACUGCAAGAUACUCAGUUUCUGAUUUCAGUAAAUUAGGAACAACGUACAUUAACGUCAGCAGUAUGGCACAGUUAGGAACAAAACCAUUUUCAGAGGUAAAGAAUAGUACAAAAACAUACCAUGAAUGAGCAAUAAUCUCUGUUCUUGUCAUCUAGCUUUAAGAUUCUGAUAAGCGUUUAAAACAUACAACAGCUACAGAGUGAAAGUGCUGUGUGAAUAUGUGAGUUGAACUGGGAGGAUACGUACAUCUGUUUUUAUUUAGCAAUGCACAAGGCAAAUAAAAUAUUAGAAUUUUUAAAUAUAACAUAGGGAGUUAAAUGAAGCAUUCAGCCAAAAUGAGCUUAGCCAAGUAUCAUCCAUAGUUCAGUGUUUUGGUGGUUCUGGGGUUGGCUGAGCUGAGUUGAGGAAGCCCCUGUGAGUAGCUGGUCUGCAGAGCACCUUCACCACAUUCGAGGGCUUUUCCUGAGUUGUGACACUUGGGUCUGUGUGCCACAUACCAUCUUGGUCCACAUCAGGUACCAAAAAUUAUGACAGUUUGAAGCCAGUUGUUGAAUGAGAAAGGAGGAAGCAGGUAGUUACUUUUGGUUGGGUUUUUUUCUCCAACAAAACUGUGUCACAGCUUCUAUGGAGCAAGAUGAGUGGUGUUCUGUUGAUCAGUUGAUGGUGACAUGGGAAUGGUGGUUUUCAUCUGGAUUUUAAGAGUGAAUAUGCCAUAAAAAUGACAUUAAGAGGUGGAAUACAGAACAGAGAAUACAGAAGCAGGGUAUAAUCCCUGUUGCUGUCUUCAUUGUUCAGUGUAUUCCUUCGAGAAUUUUACAUGGGGAAAAUUCAAUCACCCAAAAGACCAGCAUUCUCCAGAUUAUUCCAGAACACAGAGUAUUCGCAUGUUUGAGAAUGUGUUGCUACAUUGCCUCCCACAGAUAAAACACAGAUUUCAAGCGACUCUGUUUACACUUAACUUGCUCUGGUGCUUUGUGAUGUGUCCUUAUGGUCUGGAAAACUGGUUAUUUACAGCUGAUGUUACGUGUUGUGUAUAAAUAGUUUACUCUGGACUUUGCCACGUUAGACGUUUUGAAGCAGUUUACACAGGCAUAGGAUGGUGUUUACGUGUGACAUCAAACAGCCUUUGUGAACGGGCAUGCUUUCUUGCCUGCCUUUGUAACAUUAAUAGUUAAGAUGAUUUUCCUGAUGUAGCAGCAGAGGGCACCGGAGUCUUCAUGUUACCUUCACAAGCCGACAUAGCUGUGUUUGAGCAGGGAACACGUAGGUGGCCGUAGUGCUUGUUUCAAGGAUUGCAACUGUUUAGCAGUCUAUGAUAUAACGUUUCCUCUUUUCUGUGUGUCAGUUCUCUUUUAUGUAGAGGCAUUCAGAUACCUGUAUCCUUACUCUGGUUUCUGCUCACUAAUUUAAAUCCUUUUCCUGGCAGAGCAGACACUAUGAUCAAGAAGUCAUUUUCCCAGGAUGUGUUUAAUCCUCUGUGUCAUGGGUACAUUGACUUCUUUGGUUUCAGCUCAGGCACACUGUUUCAGGUAGUGGAGAGCUGUAUUUGUGUUCUCCUUUGACUUAAAACCAUAAAAAAAUACCACACACUAACUCCCCCCUCCCCCCUCAUGCACACUUUAACAGUUUUUCCUAAUUACAAACUGAACAUUUACUCAAAUUAUUGCUGAUGAAUAAUUUUACACAUUUAAUGUCAUAUAUUAAUAUUGUGAGUAGCUAGAUAAUUUAAGUUACUUGUUCUAUGCAAAGUGGAUAAAUUAUGUAUUUUGCCUGAAGGAAGAACACAUGGUGUUGCCCUCUUCUAUACUGACAUAGGUCAGCAACGCUAUUACUAUUCUGUUUCAGUAUAACAUUAUUUUCCAUGUGUUCAUAAAGUAAUAACAUAAAGAGAAAAUAAAAACAUCCCUUGGGAUGUUCUGUGAAACAGACAUUUCUGACUCUUAUUUGGUAAAUACAUUUUCUUAAAAAAAAACAAAGAUCAAACAUAUUAUUUGCUAACCUGAGACUACCAUAGGAUUUAAGUGAAAGUAAUUAUGAAAGAAGCUAACUUUAUGCAAACAUGAUUCAUACAGUAUUAUUUUUCCACUUUAUGGUAUAGGUGUUCACCUGGAAAGAAACUUGAUGCUAUAAAUUUGUAAGUUAUCAUGUGUGGAACAGACAAAAAUAUAUUUUUAUGCUUUGUGGCUGAUCUACUUUCAGUGGGUGUGAAGCUUUCGUGGGGAGGGGUGAGUACCACCUAAAUCAGAAUAAAUACUUUAACUUGUUA